AAGCAUUGGCUAAUCAGUUACACUGUGUAAAUGAUAUUUACCAAAACGAAAUUUCAGAAUACUGCAAGUACCAUUUUAUUCACAUAAAUUAAAUUCAUUGUCAUAUUAAUAUAAAUGAACAAGCAAUUGCAAACCAAGAGAGAGAGACAGCCUGCAAGCAGCAAACAUCCUGAAAAAUACUCCAAAAUUUAUAGCAAAGUUGCAUACAAAUUGGGGCCCCUAUCUUUUCGUUGUGCAAGUGGUAUACAAAUUCAUAGAUAGAUUCCAUCGUAUUGCUCUCAAAGUUUUCCAAGCAUUUCAAAGCACAAAUACAUAAAAGCAGUCUCUAGAGGUGGAAAAGAAUUAUAAAUAACAUUCACUAACUGAAAUGGAAGAAUGAAAGAAGGAAUGUAGCAGGCUGAUUUAAAGAAGAAAAUAACCGUUGAAAUUCUCAAGCCGAAGGGGUUGGACCACAAAUGGGCUGAUGUUGCAGCAGGAAUUGGGCUAGAUUAGCACAUUUGUGCUCAACAAUUAGCAAACAUGUAGAUAAGAAACAACCAAUUGUAAUUAUUUUCUUUUAGCUUGUACCAAAGGAGCUCCACAUAUUUUAGCAGUUUCAUUGCAUACUCAAAAUGAACCAAACAUGACUGAUAUACUUACUAGUAAAAACAGGAAGCCAAGCAAUAUGGUCAAUGUGAAAUUUUGAAAAAAAAAUAUUUAUUCCAUUCCAGGUUCUAACUAUGGAGAAGUUGUGCAUUUCAAAAUGAAGCAUACAUGUGAAAGCUUCUAAAUCCAAAAUACUAGUCUUAGUGGUCGAGUGCAGUGUUAUCAAAGGCGCGCCUG
rnacentral:misc_RNA from 1 species